GAUCAACGCUGGCGGCGUGCAUAACACAUGCAAGUCGAACGAAGUGGCGGACGGGAGAGUAACGCGUGAGCAACCGGCCUUAGAGAAGGGGAUAGCCUUUGGAAACGAAGAAUAAUACCCUAUGGUCUAAGAUGGACUUGCGUCUGAUUAGUUAGUUGGUGAGGUAACGGCUCACCAAGACAGCGAUCAGUAGCCGGCUUGAGAGAGUGUACGGCCACAUUGGGACUGAGACACGGCCCAGACUCUACGGGGGGCAGCAGUGGGGAAUUUUGCACACUGGGGGAAACCCUGAUGCAGCGACGCCGCGUGAUUUGGAAGGCCUUCGUGUUGUAAAAAUCUUUUCUAUGGGAAGCAGUACCAUAGGAAUAAGGACCGGCUAAUUACGUGCCAGCAGCCGCGGUAAUAC
rnacentral:rRNA from 1 species